UAUAUGUAUAUAUACGUAACCAUUAGACCAGGAUGUAAUAACUGAUAAAUAUUUAAUAAUUCGCAGAAGAGAUGACUCUCUGCAUAACAACACAGAUAAUAAAUUAGCUACCAGAACACUUUAAGAAUGUAGAAAGGUUAUUGUAUAUCAAAUAGCUGUUCAAGUUUUUUAUAGAAGUGGUAAAAUCUGACUAUAUAUACCAGUGUAAAAUCAUCGAUAUUUAACAGUCUUUAAGAUUUCAAUUCAGCACAAGGAGCUAUUUGCACAACAACCACAAUGCCAUAUCAUCGAUCAAUAACUUCUUCGGAUUCAGAGGAUGAACAUUUUAGUGAAACUGUUGAUAAGGAAAUGAGUCCGUCAGUAUCGAAAAUAAAACCUAAUUCAAAACGUAACGCAACAAGUGAGAAAAAAAAAUCCAGAA
rnacentral:lncRNA from 1 species